rnacentral:lncRNA from 1 species
GACAAAAUAAAAAAGUCGACACUAAAUCAAUAGAAAUACAACAAUACACCCACAAAAUCAAGAACAUGGGCAAAGAAAAAAGGAGAGAUGGUUUCAAUUAUAGGUAUUUCCUAGGAACGUUCAGGACUUUGAAAUUAUGAGGCAAAGAUCAUCACUAUAUCAAGAAGGCAAAGCGUUUGAUAGGUCGAACUCACAAUUUUUGUUUUGUAGACCUACACAUCUGAUGGAAUUUUUAAGAAAAACUUAUUAGGAAUACGAAAAGAGGAGGUUUAGAGGAAGCUAUAGAUGAAAUUUAGAGUAAAUCGGGGUUAGGGAGGUGGUAGUACUGGGCG